rnacentral:rRNA from 1 species
CCUACGGGGGGCAGCAGUGAGGAAUAUUGGUCAAUGGGCGAAAGCCUGAACCAGCCAUGCCGCGUGCAGGAUGACUGCCCUAUGGGUUGUAAACUGCUUUUAUACAGGAAUAAACCCCCGGACGUGUCCGGGGCUGAAGGUACUGUAAGAAUAAGGAUCGGCUAACUCCGUGCCAGCAGCCGCGGUAAUACGGAGGAUCCAAGCGUUAUCCGGAUUCAUUGGGUUUAAAGGGUCCGCAGGCGGGGUAUUAAGUCAGUGGUGAAAGCCGGCAGCUUAACUGUCGAAUUGCCAUUGAUACUGGUACUCUUGAGUGUAGUUGAAGUAGGCGGAAUAAGUCAUGUAGCGGUGAAAUGCAUAGAUAUGACUUAGAACACCGAUUGCGAAGGCAGCUUACUAAGCUAUUACUGACGCUCAUGGACGAAAGCGUGGGGAGCGAACAGGAUUAGAUACCCUUG